rnacentral:rRNA from 15 species
UUGGAGCUCUAGGAAGUCUCGUUCCAACUGCUGCUGGUGCAUUCGCUCCUGCUCCUCGCGCGCAGCCAAGGCCUCCUCAUCUGCGCUCACGCGAGAAGACUGGUUGGGGUUGUUGGCGCUUUUUGGAUUUUUGGGAGGGGGUUCGGAGUCCAGGAGGUCCAUGUAGCCCUUGACCAAGUGAACGUGCUGGUCGUGGGAGAAC